CCUACGGGUGGCAGCAGUGGGGGGUAUUGCACAAUGGGGGGAACCCUGAUGCAGCGACGCCGCGUGGGUGAAGAAGCGCCUCGGCGCGUAAAGCCCUGUCAGCAGGGAAGAAAAUGACGGUACCUGAAGAAGAAGCCCCGGCUAACUACGUUCCAGCAGCCGCGGUACUACGUCGGGGGCAGGCGUUAUCCGGAUUUACUGGGUGUAAAGGGGGGGCAGAGGGGGAUGCAAGCCCGGAGGGAAAGCCCGGGGGCCAACCCCGGGACUGCUCUUGGAACUGCGGGGCUGGAGUGCAGGAGGGGCAGGCGGAAUGCCUGGUGUAGCGGUGAAAUGCGUAGAUAUCAGGAGGAACACCGGUGGCGAAGGCGGCCUGCUGGACUGCAACUGACGUUGAGGCCCGAAAGCGUGGGGAGCAAACAGGAUUAGAUACCCGGGUAGUC
rnacentral:rRNA from 1 species